rnacentral:rRNA from 1 species
CCUACGGGUGGCAGCAGUAGGGAAUAUUGCUCAAUGGGGGAAACCCUGAAGCAGCAACGCCGCGUGGAGGAUGACGGUUUUCGGAUUGUAAACUCCUUUUGUUAGAGAAGAUAAUGACGGUAUCUAACGAAUAAGCACCGGCUAACUCCGUGCCAGCAGCCGCGGUAAUACGGAGGGUGCAAGCGUUACUCGGAAUCACUGGGCGUAAAGGGCGCGUAGGCGGGAUAGCAAGUCAGAUGUGAAAUCCUAUGGCUUAACCAUAGAACUGCAUUUGAAACUGGUAUUCUAGAGUAUGGGAGAGGUAGGUGGAAUUCGUGGUGUAGGGGUAAAAUCCGUAGAGAUCAAGAGGAAUACUCAUUGCGAAGGCGACCUGCUAGAACAUAACUGACGCUGAUGCGCGAAAGCGUGGGGAGCGAACAGGAUUAGAUACCCUGGUAGUC